GUUGUGUUGUACACUGGGCUACUGUAAGGCUGGGGGCAGUGUGUUGUGUUGUACACUGGGCUACUGUAAGGCUGGGGGCAGUGUGUUGGGUUGUGUUGUACACUGGGCUACUGUAAGGCUGGGGGCAGUGUGUCGGGUUGUGUUGUGUUGUACACUGGGCUACUGUAAGGCUGGGGGCAGUGUGCUAUCUCCUUUCUCACAUGCUUUCUCUAUGCACCCGUGGGCACCACUCACUCACCCCCUCACUACUGCUGUUUUUAAACCAGUGUUAGAGACAACGGGUUCUGUUUCUCCUCUCGCUGGUGUUUUCCUCAGUCUACCUUCAUGUCUCUAUGCUCUCUAAGUCAGCUGGUAAAUCCUACUGGACAGUUACUAUUCAUGGGUGUAAAAUUCCAUCCACUUUACUUCACCAAGGGAGCAAUUCUGCUGUCAGUUUUUCAUCCCUAGUAGUUAGAUCCCUGUCACUCUCUCUCUCCUACUCUUACUCUCUCUGUCUCUACCGCACUCUCCUUGUCUCUACCGCACUCUCUCUGUCUCUACCGCACUCUCUCUGUCUCUACUCUUACUCUCUCUGUCUCUACCGCACUCUCUCUGUCUCUACUCUUACUCUCUCUGUCUCUACUGCACUCUCUCUGUCUCUACCGCACUCUCUCUGUCUCUACUCUUACUCUCUCUGUCUCUACUCUUACUCUCUCUGUCUCUACUGCACUCUCUCUGUCUCUACCGCACUCUCUCUGUCUCUACUCUUACUCUCUCUGUCUCUACCGCACUCUCUCCGUUUCUGCUUCCCACUCUCUCCUUCCCUUUGUCUCUCUGCUGCACACAACAACCAUGCAACCCCACAGACCCAGCUAACGAUGAACUAGUCUCCAGGCAUUUCCCUCCACUAUCACUCUCGACCUACACAAAUGGAAAUAAUCUCCGAUAUGGAAAAAGACAAGAAUAAAAGACAUGGAAAAACAAUAAUAAUACUAUAUAUACUUGUAAUCUCUGGUUUAUAGGAAAAUAAGGGGGAUCAUUAAAAUGACGACAUCUAUAUGCAUAAGUCCACAGAUAUUUUUAUGGAGGUUUGGGUCCACCUGUGCUAUGAGUAAUGCAGGCGGACUGGCCCGGUGAUUUUUCCAGAAUUACAUGAGCGGUGCAGCAGCAGUUGUCUCUGGAAGCGAGCGAGAGAGAGAGAGAGAGAGAGAGAGAGAGAGAGCGAGAGAAGAGAGAGAGCGAGAGAGAGUGAAGAGAGAGAGAGAGAGAGAGAGAGAGAGAGAGAGAGA
ensembl:lncRNA